CCUCUCAUCACAACCUCUGGAAUAGCUGCAACUACAGAAGGUUACCUGGAGACUUUGGCAAGAGCCACAGCAGUUCCUAAAAGGAAAAGAAACCUCAAAGGAGAAUGUUAAUCUCCCCGAUCAGCUCCAGCUCUCCCUGGAAACAUCCUUUUCUAUGUAACAGCCUAAAUCAUCCUAAAGAGGACAUUCUCCAACAUUAGCAUACCUAACAAUCAACACGGAGAUUUCCAGGACCUGUUCCAGAAACACGGAUUCAGUAGGUUUAGGGUGGAAGUUUGGAAUCUGCCUUUUAACCAACUCCCUGCUAUGGACUGAAUUGUUUCACCCCAAAAUUCAUAUAUUGAAGCCCUCACCCCUAAUGUGAUGGCAUUUGAAGAUGGGGCCUUUGGGAGGUCAUUAUGUUUAGAUGAGGUCGUGAGGAAGGGAGCCCCAUGAUGGAUGGGAUUAGUGCCCUCAUAAGAAGACAUGCCAGAGAGCUCUCUCUACUCUCAAGUACCCAGGAAAGGCCAUAACAAGACACAGCCAGAAGACAGCUAUCUGCAAGCCAGGAAGCGCCCUCACCAAACAGACACGGACCCUGCUAGCACCUUGCUCUUGGGCAUUCAGCCUCCAGAAUUGGGAGACGAUCAAUUCCUGCUGUGAAGGUAUUUUAUUAAGGCAGCCAAAGCUGACUGAGAUACUUCCCCGAUCACUGUGAUGUCCAGUGCCGAGGGCCUAUGCUUUGAAAAUCAAUAUUCUAGUCUUAGGCCAAAACUCUCCUCCCUGCUUCCCCAGCCACUCCUUGAGCUUUCUUCUUCCUCAUGGCCCUCUCGGCCAUCUGGACAGGCUUCUUCCUGGAUACAAGUCACAUGAAUGUCACUGACCUGUGACUUUGUCUUUGUUUCCUGAGUGCAUCACACAGUACAUGGCCUACGGCAGGCAUUCAGAAAAUAUUGAUUUCAUGAAUGAAUAGGUGAAUGAAUGAGUGAGCAAAUGAAUGAAUUUAUAUCACAUAGAAUAAUUAACUUCCCUUUUAGUAUCUCCCUAAUCCUUCCAACUCUAACUUGAGGAAGCUAUGACUUGCUUUCAAGAUCAUUUUCCAGGCCUGGCGCGGUGGCUCACGCCUGUAAUCCCAGCACUUUGGGA
rnacentral:lncRNA from 1 species